UACGUAGGGGGCAAGCGUUGUUCGGAAUUACUGGGCGUAAAGGGCGCGUAGGCGGCACGGCAAGUCGGGAGUGAAAGCCCGGGGCUCAACCCCGGAGGGUCUUCCGAAACUGCCGAGCUAGAGUGCGGAAGAGGCAACCGGAAUUCCCAGUGUAGCGGUGAAAUGCGUAGAUAUUGGGAAGAACACCAGAGGCGAAGGCGGGUUGCUGGGCCGACACUGACGCUGAGGCGCGAAAGCGUGGGGAGCAAGCAGG
rnacentral:rRNA from 1 species